rnacentral:misc_RNA from 1 species
UCCCCACGCGUGUGGGGAU